AUUGAACGCUGGCGGCAGGCCUAACACAUGCAAGUCGAGCGGCAGCACAAGUGAGUUUACUCAUGAGGUGGCGAGCGGCGGACGGGUGAGUAAUGCCUAGGGAUCUGCCCAGUCGAGGGGGAUAACAGUUGGAAACGACUGCUAAUACCGCAUACGCCCUACGGGGGAAAGAGGGGGACUUUCGGGCCUCUCGCGAUUGGAUGAGCCUAGGUGGGAUUAGCUAGUUGGUGAGGUAAUGGCUCACCAAGGCGACGAUCCCUAGCUGUUCUGAGGGGCUGAUCAGCCACACUGGGACUGAGACACGGCCCAGACUCCUACGGGAGGCAGCAGUGGGGAAUAUUGCACAAUGGGGGAAACCCUGAUGCAGCCAUGCCGCGUGUGUGAAGAAGGCCUUCGGGUUGUAAAGCACUUUCAGUAGGGAGGAAAGGUUGUAAGUUAAUACCUUGCAGCUGUGACGUUACCUACAGAAGAAGGACCGGCUAACUCCGUGCCAGCCGCCGCCGUAACAC
rnacentral:rRNA from 1 species